rnacentral:rRNA from 1 species
UACGUAGGGUGCGAGCGUUGUCCGGAAUUAUUGGGCGUAAAGAGCUCGUAGGCGGUUUGUUGCGUCUAUCGUGAAAACCUGCGGCUUAACUGUGGGCUUGCGGUGGAUACGGGCAGACUUGAGUUCGGUAGGGGAGACUGGAAUUCCUGGUGUAGCGGUGAAAUGCGCAUAUCAGGAGGAACACCGGUGGCGAAGGCGGGUCUCUGGGCCGAUACUGACGCUGAGGAGCGAAAGCGUGGGGAGCGAACAGG